rnacentral:rRNA from 1 species
AUUGAACGCUGGCGGCAGGCCUAACACAUGCAAGUCGAGCGGUAGAGAGGUGCUUGCAUCUCUUGAGAGCGGCGGACGGGUGAGUAAUGCCUAGGAAUCUGCCUAGUGUGGGGGAUAACGUUCGGAAACGGACGCUAAUACCGCAUACGUCCUACGGGAGAAAGCGGGGGAUCUUCGGACCUCGCGCCAUUAGAUGAGCCUAGGUCGGAUUAGCUAGUUGGUGAGGUAAUGGCUCACCAAGGCGACGAUCCGUAACUGGUCUGAGAGGAUGAUCAGUCACACUGGAACUGAGACACGGUCCAGACUCCUACGGGAGGCAGCAGUGGGGGAAUAUUGGACAAUGGGCGAAAGCCUGAUCCAGCCAUGCCGCGUGGGUGAAGAAGGCCU